rnacentral:tRNA from 1 species
GCGUCCUUAGUUCAGUUGGUAGAACAUUGGUUUCCAAAAUCAAAAGUCGUGGGUUCAAGGCCUACAGGGCGUG